UACGUAGGCAGCAAGCGUUUGUUCGGAAUUACUGGGCGUAAAGAGCGUGUAGGCGGCCGUACAGGUCAGCUGUGAAAACUCGAGGCUCAACCUCGAGACGUCGGUUGAAACCGUACGGCUAGAGUCCGGAAGAGGAGAGUGGAAUUCCCGGUGUAGCGGUGAAAUGCGCAGAUAUCGGGAAGAACACCCGUGGCGAAGGCGGCUCUCUGGGACGGUACUGACGCUGAGACGCGAAAGCGUGGGGAGCGAACAGG
rnacentral:rRNA from 1 species